UACAGAGGUCUCAAGCGUUGUUCGGAUUCAUUGGGCGUAAAGAGCGUGUAGGCGGUCAGGUAGGUCGGUUGUGAAAACUGGAGGCUCAACCUUCAGAGGUCGACCGAAACCCCCUGGCUAGAGUCCGGGAGAGGAGAGUGGAAUUCCUGGUGUAGCGGUGAAAUGCGCAGAUAUCAGGAAGAACACCCGUGGCGAAAGCGGCUCUCUGGAACGGUACUGACGCUGAGACGCGAAAGCGUGGGGAGCGAACAGG
rnacentral:rRNA from 1 species